AGUACUUCUGUUAAUGAUGCCACUAAAUCAUACAUAGUAUAUAAAAUAAUGAGUGAAUAUGUUAUGAAUAGAUUGUCAAGUUACAGCAUCUAAAAAUAUACAAAUUUUCCUUAACAAAAAUACAGAAAACCAACACUGCCCAAGUUAAUGUCCGUGUUGUUUGUGUCCUAUCCAGUUUAUUUCAACUGCUGUUCCCUCAGUACUAAUUAAUAAAACGAGAUAUAUCGCCAACUACCGGUUACCCGUUUAGACAUGUCCGAUACAUCUUGUUUACAACGCUGUUUUUUGACUGAAUAAUUUUAAUUCUUUAAAGUAAUCCUACAUUUUCCACCACUGUUUCUAGAAAGUUAGUUAUUAGACAUACUUAUAGCGAUUAUCCCGUCAAAUAUAUCAUUCAAAUGCAUCACUGAGGCACUUUUAUUUUGAAGGCAGAAGACAAUAACAGUCCUGUGAUUGUAACGUUAGCCAUCUUAAGAGCUCUCUCUCUCUCUCUCCAGGGCCUACCUAGGCGUUUCUCUCUUCACAUCGCCAGUGUAAAGUUCACCGUACUGGAUUAAAGACCGUGUCAUCUUCAGCAAAGCGAGGUAUCGCUGGAAAAUUAGCCUUGUUUUCAUUUCCAUCACGUGAUGUCAGGACAGCGUUGUUUACGCAGUAGUUGCCGGGGUCUGUGUAAGAAGGUGUUAGCUCAUCUGUCAGUCAGAAAGCUGCAACACAGAAGAGUCUAUUAUAGGAGAGAAGUUUCCUCCGAUGGCAUUCAGACUAUUGGAGAGGAUAAACAUGAUGUGCUACUAGUGACGCAGAGAACAACAUGGACAGACAAUAACAAAUCAUCACGCUAGGGGUAAGUGGAGCUCUCACUCACAAUAACUUAUUCUGCUGCUUCAACUCAUUCUAUUUCAGGGGUGUCCAGUCCUGGAGGGCCAGCGUCCUGCCGAGUUUAGCUCCAACACACUUGCCUGGAAGUUUCUACUAGUUAGUCUGAAGCCCUUGAUUAGCUGGUUCAGGUGUGUUUAAUUGGGGUUGGAGUUAAACUCUGCAGGACCGUGGCCCUUUAUCGAAUACUUUAAUGCAGAUGCACAAAUGCACCGAUGUCAUUCUAUUUACUAUUA
rnacentral:lncRNA from 1 species